AUUGAACGCUGGCGGCAUGCCUUACACAUGCAAGUCGAACGGCAGCACGGGAGCAAUCCUGGUGGCGAGUGGCGAACGGGUGAGUAAUAUAUCGGAACGUGCCCGGUCGUGGGGAUAACGUAGCGAAAGCUACGCUAAUACCGCAUACGAUCUACGGAUGAAAGCGGGGGAUCGCAAGACCUCGCGCGAUUGGAGCGGCCGAUAUCAGAUUAGGUAGUUGGUGAGGUAAAGGCUCACCAAGCCGACGAUCUGUAGCUGGUCUGAGAGGACGACCAGCCACACUGGGACUGAGACACGGCCCAGACUCCCUACGGGAGGCAGCAGUGGGGAAUUUUGGACAAUGGGCGCAAGCCUGAUCCAGCAACGCCGCGUGCAGGAUGAAGGCC
rnacentral:rRNA from 1 species